rnacentral:tRNA from 1 species
GGGCACUUGGCACAGUUGGUAGCGCGCACGCUUCGCACCAAGUGAUUGCGUGAGGUCGUGGGUUCAACUCCCACAGUGUCCA